rnacentral:rRNA from 1 species
UUAGUGGCAGACGGGUGAGUAAUGCGUAGGAAUCUACCUAGUAGUAUGGAAUAGCCAUUAGAAAUGAUGGGUAAUACUGUAUAAUCCCUGCGGGGGAAAGAUUUAUCGCUAUUAGAUGAGCCUACGUUAGAUUAGCUAGUUGGUAAGGUAAUGGCUUACCAAGGCUAUGAUCUAUAGCUGGUCUGAGAGGACGAUCAGCCACACUGGAACUGAGAUACGGUCCAGACUCCUACGGGAGGCAGCAGUGGGGAAUAUUGGACAAUGGGCGAAAGCCUGAUCCAGCUAUGCCGCGUGAGUGAAGAAGGCCUUCGGGUUGUAAAACUCUUUCAAUAGG